AAAUGCGGUGGUAANCUCCAUNUAAGGNUAAAUACUNGUAUGAGUCCGAUAGCAAACAAGUNCCGUGAGGGAAAGUUGAAAAGAACUUUGAAGAGAGAGUUAAAUAGUACGUGAAAUCGCUUAGAGGUAAACGAGUGGAGUCGAAAAGAUCGGAUGGGAUUCAGUUGGAUGUGCGAUGAUGAAGGCGUUCAGUAACAACCAUAACAGGCAUUACUGGAUCUUUAUGUAAUUGUCGUGCGUACAAUGCACUUUCUAUUCGAUUGGACUGUGACCAAUAGAAUGGUUUUUCUGUCGUAGAGUUGAAGGUGAUCAGUUGCUUGCAAUUGGUUUUAUAGCGCUUUACACGGUCAAAUCGAUGUAUUGGUGAAAUAGCAAUCAGUCAAUGUUGGCAAGCCGUUAUAUAUGUCAUUAGCUAGUUGACUACCUGUAGACUAUUGGCAAAUGAUGUGUGUGAUGUGCUUGUUGAUGGAUUGGUUUAAAGUCACAGUAAUAUGUAGAUUAUCUACUCGUCCCGUCUUGAAACACGGACCAAGGAGUUUUAUAUGAUCGCGAGUCAAAGGGCUUUACGAAACCCCAGGGCGCAAUUAAUGUGAAGGUUUACUUUCGUGAACUGAGAUGUGACCUGAGCGCAGUGGUUUUAACCCCAAUGCAAUCAGUGCAAUAUCGACCCGUCUAAAGAUGUUCGCAUCUGGGCGGAGUUUGAGCGAUCAUGUAGAGACCCGAAAGAUGGUGAACUAUGCUUGUGCAGGUUGAAGUCAGAGGAAACUCUGAUGGAGGACCGCCGCGGUUCUGACGUGCAAAUCGAUCGUCGGACAUGAGUAUAGGGGCGAAAGACUAAUCGAACCAUCUAGUAGCUGGUUCCCUCCGAAGUUUCCCUCAGGAUAGCUGGCAUUUGUUGUCGUAGUUUGACCUGGUAAAGCGAAUGAUUAGAAGUAUUGGGGGCGAAAUGCCUUCAACUUAUUCUCAAACUUUAAAUGGGUUCGAUGUGUGACUCGCUUCAUUGGAGUUGCACGUUGAAUACGAAUGCCUAGUGGGCCAUUUUUGGUAAGCAGAACUGGCGAUGUGGGAUGAACCAAACAUCUGGUUAAGGUGCCUAACAUCACGCUCAUGAGAUCCCACAAAAGGUGUUGGUUGAUAAAGACAGCAGGACGGUGGACAUGGAAGUCGUCAUCCGCUAAGGAGUGUGUAACAACUCACCUGCCGAAUCAACCAGCCCUGAAAAUGGAUGGCGCUGUAGCGUGAGACCUAUACCGGAUCGAUAUCGUAAGUUUAUCAACGAGUAAACGGUAUCGUGUAGGAGGGUGCCGUGGUUGCUAAGAAGCUACUGGCGUGAGUCAGAGUGGAGCGGCCACGGGUACAGAUCUUGGUAGUAGUAGCAAUU
rnacentral:rRNA from 1 species